rnacentral:lncRNA from 1 species
UGGUAACUGGCACGUGGUAAGUACUAUGUAAGUGCUACCACUUAUUAUUUCUGACACCUGCAAUUAGUAGGAUAUAGAUCAUGAAAUAAAAUAAUUUGGUUGGAAUAGAAAGAUUAGAGGGAUACACUUGUCACCUUACAUCACUUCUUUUCUUGCCAUAGAGCAACUGAGUCAAUAUAUAAGAGGCUCUCACGGUAUUAUUUUUAGACUGUUAUGAGGAGAAAUGUCUAACCUUAUUCACACUUGAGAUAACAAAUUAUUAAUGUCAUGAGAAUUAUCCAUUACCGAGGGUGGGCUGAGAACCAUCAAGAUUGUGCUAUGUAAGCACUUUGGCUUGUGCUGUUGGGUGAGGCUCUUUGGAAUGUAUUGCAGACAAUUUAUGUUUCCUGCAAAAAUGCAGAGAAAAGCCAAAAUCUUGCAAAGCAGGGCUUCAGAGCAUUGGUUUUUUUAAUGUAAUUUUUCUAAUCCUUGCCAUCAGAGGAGAUGUGUUUUGCCCUGGGAACCCCAACUGUAUUUAAGUUAAAUUAUUUUUAAUUAGUCUCAAAUUAUUUUCCUGGGAGGUCAUAGAUGUGAACAUUCCUCCUCCCCUUCUCCAUUAUCCGAUUCAGGAGCAUCCAGUCAGAGCCACGGACCCAACUUUGGGCAAGAGUUUAUCCCAAAGUCAUUUGAUCUUAGACCAGUUGCCAAAGGAGAUGGAAAGAGUUGAGGACCAUGAGGCGCCACUGUGGGGAGAUGAAUACCAGCCAUCAGCAGCCUCCGCCUCUGCCAGCAAGUCAAGGGGUGAGCGAGCAGCCACUGAGAAUCACAGGUGCAGAGUCACCAGGCAGUGGUUGCACUUUCCAGACCCCUUUCCGCUCAAUGCCCACAUUCUUUCUACACUGGACGCUAAAUUUGAUCCCAGACUGUCAUUUGUGAUGGCAUGAGGGGUCAUUGCAGCUCUGGAGACACUGAAUCAAUACCAGAGAGGACAAGGGGUCUUGAGAAGAAGCAUCGGGAAUUAGAAUCUAAUAUACAAGAGGAUCACGAAAUGCAGUAAGAGCACUGGGGCUGCAGGCUGUGGAAUCCUGAGACAAGAGAAGAGGAAACCAAGGAGGGCCGGUCAGAAAGUUGAUCUGAGACUUUACAGAGUUCCUGAGGAAUAAAGUCGAAGGAGCCCAGACCUUUCUGGACCUUUGGACGCUCCGGCAGCUAUGCAGAUAGAAGGUGUGUUCUCCUCCCCGGGCCCCUUGGCUGACAGCCAUGAUGAUAGCCGAUUCCCUUCCUUCUGAGCAACAGGGCGUCCAGUUCUCACUGCAGACUCCACCCUGCUUCAUCUACAUCUUGCUGUCCUCCAGUUCCUGCACCUCUAUGGAGCCCUUUUCAGCGUUCCCAGGUUGUCAGACGCCUCUCUGAGGGCCCUGCCCCUGGUACCGUGCCUCUAUUAGAACCUGGCUCACCGUGUCUGGCGAGGCUUUGCUCUGCUCCUCAGUGGGGCACUAGAUGGUGGAACCCUGGCGAACCAGAACUGUGCCACAGUCUUCUCUCUGUCCGUCCUCACACCUCAUAUGGAGCGUGGCAUAAACUAGGCACCAUUUGUUUGUUAAAUAAAAACAAAAUUCUUUCUCCUCAUUUCCCAUGAAAGUUGCAAUCUAAACCAGCAUAAUUAAG